AUAAGGAAAAAUAAGGAGGAAGGAAGAAGACAAAUCGUUAUUCAUCUUUACCUUUCUUCUCUUAUCACAUCGUUCGACAUUAUCAAGAACUACUUACGAAUCGAAGCUUUGAUACUGGACAUCGAUAAGCAUUCCCUUCUGGAAUACUUAUCCAGUAAAGGAUCUUGACGAUCAUACGGAGGGAUAAUACGACGUAAAAAAGCAAGGAGAAGAAUCCUUGUGAAUCAGAAGAAAAGCCAAAAAUCCCUUUGGGUGUUCGAAGAUCCAGCCGGCGAUAUAAAAGAAACCGUCAGACGAAAAGUCGUGAAAGACAGUAUAUCUCUACCGUGGUCUGGAUUUACCAAGUUACUGUCCUCUCACUGUCUUCUUCUAUUUUCUUACUCUAUCUAUCUUUUUCUCUUCUUUCCCACCAGAUAGUUCUUUGGUUACGAAUCCGACAUACAAUCGGAGGUAAUAAUGAUAACUCGAUGGAGGAAGACGAAAUCGGGCGAUUUACUCGCACGGUGAGGAAUCUCCUGGAGUUCAGAGGGCAGCGCCCUUGCUGCGCGUUAACUCACCCCCGCUGGGCGCACAGCAACAUGCGAUGCUGCUAGGGUUGAUGAAUGGAUCCUACGUAACGCGUGCGUGCGUCCGCGCGCGCGCGCGCGCGCGUGCUCGUUCAAAGAGCGCGUUGAAAAUCGGACGGAUUUUCGCGCAAUGAUUAAAAUGACGUAUUUCUGUGAUUCAAAUUUUAUCAUGAAUAUUAACCCCAAUAAAAUAUCUGGAAAAGAGAAGUUAAACCAACAACGAUGAACUUACGUGAAAAUAUACAAGAAUUUUUCAAUGAUCAUAUCAUUACAAAAUUGUUUUUCAUUUGUUAUUAUUUUAUAGAAAGAUUUAUCUAUUCUUCGUGAUUACUCAAAGAGAUGUUCAUUUAAUUACGAUCGAUCAUCAUUCCAAGGGGAGUUUCACAGACUUUUGGAAAGUUUCGUACACUUCGUAUAAAUGUCUCGAUUUGGAUAGGAACGUUUGAAAUACCGUUAACGCAUUAUUGUCCGGUCUAAGUCGCGUAUAAUAUUACGCCUUCUAUAUACCUUGAAAUGCAAUAAAUACGUCACACGAUAAUGGACUCACACGCAAACCUUAACAUUACAUCAUGAUAAAAAUAGUUUCUCCUUGAAAGUGGUUCGAAGGAUCGCUCGAACUAAAAGUUAUGAUCCCUUGUAAGGGAUAUUGAGCUACGAGUGACGAGAGUUGUUUUCGAGGGUGAAUGUAUUUCGGGUAUUUAUUUUUUAUCGAAACGACGUUUCAGUAUUUUUAAUCUCACUAUAAUUUGUUAUAAUGAUAUUGAAGGAGCGUUGAUGAAUUUGUCAUUGAGAUAUUUGUCAAUUGUCAAAUUGCGUUUUAAUGAAUGAACGAGGAAUAAGAAGAAAAAUAAGAGGAAAGAAAGAGAAAGCAAAAGAAUAAUAGAAAGCAAAUUGGCUUGCUAGCUGACAAAGACAGACAGACAGGUCUGAGCAAAAGCGAAGAGGGCAUCGUGUUUGAACUCUAAGAGGACUUUCAAUGCUCUUUCCCAAUGAGAAAUAAAAAGAUCAAGCUGCGAAUUUGCCGAUGGAAGCCCAGCUUGAUUUAUUAAUUCGAUUAAACCUUAUAAGCGGUGUACCGAUGUUUAAUCUUACUUGAGCGCGAAGCAACCAUUUUUACAUAGUGCCUACUCUCACGCGAGCCACUUCGCGCUACUCGAUUGUUCUUGCUAUGGAUGAUUCUCAUGAGAGAGUUCGACUCUAUUAUUAUGCUCUCCCUUUUUAUCUCGUUUUCGCAACCCGUCGAUUUAUUUUACGAUCAUCGCCGUACAAGUACGUUUCAAACAAUCCUUUUAACGAUAUGCGAUGGUUUUUUAUUAAAAAUUUCUAUAUUAGCUUGAAUUUCUAUUCUUUCAUAAGUAAUUAGAACCAUAAGAAAUAUAUUUUUGAACACAGUAUUAAUAAAUUGAGAUAAUGUUUGAUACUCUUCUCACAAAUCUUUGAACAUCGAACAUAACCAUUAAUGGAUAUUCUAUUAUAAAUGAGGAUCGAAUAUAAAAAUCUUAUCAAUUGAUCAAAUGGGAUUUUUUAGAAUGCACGAAUAAUCUGCAACAAGAAACAACGAUCCUAGAAAGCAAAUAGCCAAUAUGGGAUAGAAUUUAUCAACUGCGCAAAUUCCACGAACGAUUGCCAUAUAAGUGAUCCGCGCCCUUUUACGACGACCGGUCCCAUAAUCUACAUAUUACUAGCAUAAUCAUGUAGCCGUUGUGAGCGGUACCUUUAAGAUCCUCGCCACAUAACCUGUAUAUCCGCACAAGCACGAUGCACGUUCUGAAGGAAUGCGAAUAGCAGAGGCGUGCCGACGAUUUGCAAGAAGGAUCGAGACUUCAGAGAGUUAGACGGAGAGGGAGAAAGAGAGAAAGAGAGAAGAGUGAAAAAGAGAAGAAACGAGACGAAGGGGAAAGAUUCCGUUCUCGGGCCGGUUCCUACAGCGUCUGGUAAUGAAGGUGUUAUUAAAUAGAUUGAGAUUAAUUGCGUGAUUAGUGCUUUAUGUGUAAUUGGAUAGCGUACCAAGGGUAAAGAUGAGAAAGAAAGACAGAAAAAAAAGGAAGAUGAGGGAAGGGGAAAAUUAAAUUGCUGUUCGUAUAUGUGUUUGUAUCCUGAAUUCGCUCCUAUCUUUUCCUUUUUUGUUUGUCUUCUUUACAUUGGAGUUUUGCCAGGAACAAUUUCGUCGACUUACACACUAAUGAUCAUCAAUCUAGUUUCUUCAAUAUUACGAAAAAAAAGAUCAAUUUUAUUUAUUUUUUUUUUUCUCCUUUUUUUUUAUAUAAUCUCAUAUUGGAUAAAUGUACUACUUAUCGAAUAAUUUGACUUAAAAAAAAAAAAAAAAAAGAAAUUGUUAUAUCCUUUAUAAUAAAUAUUUAAAUGAAUAGUACAGAAAUGGAAUGAAGAAUUUGAUUAACCGUGAUAAAAUGAGAAUUUUGAGAAAGGAAAGAAAGACAGGUGCAGAAACGAAAGAGUAAAAGUUGAAGGAUACGAGGUCAGAAUUAAAUGGAAAGGGUGAAGAAAAUGUGAUGGUGGUAGUAGUUUAUCGAAUUAAGGCAAUUAGCGGCUACGAUCGUUCUCCCGCGGUGCCACUUAACUGCCUAUCUUCGUGAACACUCGAAAGCUUUUUCGCUUUCCAGCGCGAGAGAUAAGUUUAUCGCUCCGAGGCACUGUUCGCGCGCGCGUGCAAAUUCUUUACUACUUUCAAGCGACAAAUAUGACGCGGAUAACAGGAUGCAAAAAAAAAAAGAAAAGGAAUAUCAUGAUUGGUCAGUUUUCGAUACAUUAGUA